CAUAUGUGAGCAUGUCUUUAAAGUUAUUAGCAUGUGCUACAACAAAGGGUAUAGGAAGCCAUCUAUUAGCCUAUUUCAGUUCAACCAGGCCUUGAUUGACAUGCUAUACUGUCCACCUCAUGAUUCUUUGAUUCGCGAUCAUGCUGUUUCUCUAGCAGUUGCUGUACAGAAGCAAUUAGAUGCACUAGUUGAUUUUGAUAAUGGCGAUAUUACUGUGGAUCCUAUUCAGAAAGAGGCUGUGGGCACUCUUGAGCAGACGGGGGG
rnacentral:misc_RNA from 1 species